UCGGCUUCCCGCUCUUGCCUCACUCUCAGCGGCUGCCUUCGCCCCUGUCUGCAGACAGCGCCGCUGGAUGCUCCCAGCUGGACUUCAACCCCACUCCUCUCAGUCCCUCUCCCCACUGCCUUCCAGACGCGCCUCUUCCCCGCCCCGCGCCCCUCUCUCCUCUCCCACCCCUGCCCCUCUCCGCGGCGCUCACCCUCCUCAGUCCCAGUUUCUGAAAGGACUCAGCUGAGAAAGGACAACUGGGUUCCGCUUUCCUUAACCCUACACCCUUUAGCUGGAUGCUGUCAGAGGCGAUGGAGAAACGCAAAGGCUACUAGACGCAACAAUAGAAUUACCAUAUUGUUUUUCCUGGUUUGAAAGGACCAGAUGGAAAGAAACUGGGCAAGCCAAUGAAAGUCUCUGGGGAUCAUGGGAAUUGAGUGUCUAUGAAAACCAUAUUCCAGACAAGAAUAUAGUCUAAGGACACAGCAAGAGGCAACAUUUUGGAAGCAGAGGGCAACUCUCACUGGAAACCAAAUCUCCUGGCACCUUGAUCUUGGAUUUUACAGCCUCCAGAACUCUGGGAGGCAUUACAUAGUCAUGUGCGAGGUCAAAACUGAGUCACCACCACAACCAAGUUCCAGCUGGCAAGAAGAGGAAAAAUAACACAGAGGAGUUAUGACCAGUGUUGUAAGGAUCUGGCCUAGAAAUGGCAUGCAUCUCUUCCACUAAUAUCCUAUUGGUAAAAAUGUAGUCACAUGGGCACACCACCUAUCUGCAUGGAAGGCUGGGAAAUGUUGAUCGGUAGGGCAGCCAUAUGUGUAGGAAGGAGAAAACAGAAUUUGGUGGAUACCUAGUAGUCUCUGCCAUACCCUUGACCAGAAAUUUUUCUUCUAAAGAAUUUAAUUCUAAAAGUUAUAGACAUUCCCAAAGAUAUACCUGCAAGCAUCACAGCUUUGUGUAUAAUUGCAAAAGUUGAAAUCAACAUGAAUGCCCAAAAUAGUGAAUUAUUUAAACAGAUUAUUACCCAUAUUAUGAAGAAAUACUCUGCAACUCUUAAAAAUAAAUGUAAUGUGCCAGGCGCAAUGGGAUAUGCCUGCAGGCCCAGCUACACGGGAGGCCAAGGCAGGAGGAUCACUUGAAAUCAAGAGUUCAAGUCUAGCCUAGACAACAUAGUGAGACUUGGUCUCUAAAAAAGAAAAAAAAAAAUAAAACUGAUGUAAUGAAUAUAUAAUUACAACAAAAGAGGUCUAACACUAUAGUAGAAAAGUUUGGGGCACUCAUCCCAUUCAUAAUUAUUUUACAUUUAAAUUACUGUUCCUACUUAAGUGGUGAGCUUGGUAACCAUUUUCAUAUCAGGUGAUACUGCUGCAGUAAUCAUAGCUGUUUGAAUCAGGAAUAAUCCCAAUCACAUUUUCUCUUAAUCGUUUAUUAUACUGGGCAUUGGGGUUGCAAGAUAAUGCACAGUCCGAGCUCAAUACAUGUCUUCAUGUACCUGUAUGUAAAUCCCACUUUUAUUCUAAAAUUCUUUGAAUAUUUUGUUUCUUGGAACCCAAUGAUCCUAAGAAAAUUAUGUACUUUUA
rnacentral:lncRNA from 1 species